rnacentral:misc_RNA from 1 species
AAGUCAUAACAAGGUUUCCGUAGGUGAACCUGCGGAAGGAUCAUUACCAAAGCGCCUUCCUGUGGUGGACAUGAUUCCGAGUGGUUUCUGUCUGCUACGCCUUUCAACCUUCAAGCUUGUCCUAGUAUGGUUUUGGGUGGCAUGUGAACGUGAACGUGAACGUGAAUAUGAACAUAACUUUCAACAACGGAUCUCUUGGCUCUC